rnacentral:rRNA from 1 species
AUUGAACGCUGGCGGCAAGCCUAACACAUGCAAGUCGAACGAGUGGCGGACGGGUGAGUAAUGUCUGGGAAACUGCCUGAUGGAGGGGGAUAACUACUGGAAACGGUAGCUAAUACCGCAUACCAUCGGAUGUGCCCAGAUGGGAUUAGCUAGUAGGUGGGGUAAAGGCUCACCUAGGCGACGAUACAUAGCCGACCUGAGAGGGUGACCGUCCACACUGGGACUGAGACACGGCCCAGACCCCUACGGGAGGCAGCAGUGGGGAAUAUUGCACAAUGGGCGCAAGCCUGAUGCAGCCAUGCCGCGUGUAUGAAGAAGGCCUUCGGGUUGUAAAGUACUUUCAGCGAGGAGGCGUUACCCGCAGAAGAAGCACCGGCUAACUCCGUGCCAGCAGCCGCGGUAAUUC